CACCAACCCACAGGCAGGGAGGGAGGCAGGAGAGGACCCGGGGAGCUCUUGCCAGCAGCUCCGCCGGGUUCCUUUUGCGCGGUUACCGCGGCAACGCUCAGAUCUCGCGAGAGUGAACUCUAGCCCCACAGGGGGCUAGAGUUCACUCUCCACUGGACCACCAGGGAAGGCAGGAGCACGGUCCCCCCUCCCUACAUAAGGUAAGAAGGGAGGGGGGAUAUUAACUAAACGGCCCCCACACAUUACACACGAACAUACAGCACACACACAUACAUCACCCUUACACACACAGCACACACACACACUAACAGCACCCUCACACUAACAGCACCCUUACACACACAGCACCCUCACACAUACGCACACACAGCACACACUAAC